CCUACGGGUGGCAGCAGUAGGGAAUAUUGCUCAAUGGGGGAAACCCUGAAGCAGCAACGCCGCGUGGAGGAUGAAGGUUUUCGGAAUGUAAACUCCUUUUGUUAGAGAAGAGAAUGACGGUAUCUAACGAAUAAGCACCGGCUAACUCCGGGCCAGCAGCCGCGGUAAUACGGAGGGUGCAAGCGUUACUCGGAAUCACUGGGCGUAAAGAGCGCGUAGGCGGGAUAGCAAGUCAGCUGUGAAAUCCAAUGGCUUAACCAUAGAACUGCAUUUGAAACUGUUAUUCUAGAGUAUGGGAGAGGUAGGUUGAAUUCUUGGUGUAGUGGUCAAAUCCGUAUCGAUCAAGAGGAAUACUCAUUGCGACGGCGACCUGCUAGAACAUACCUGACGCUGAUGCGC
rnacentral:rRNA from 1 species